CCUACGGGGUGCUGCAGUGGGGAAUAUUGGACAAUGGGCGAAAGCCUGAUCCAGCCAUGCCGCGUGUGUGAAGAAGGCCUUCGGGUUGUAAAGCACUUUCAGUGGGGAAGAAAGCCUUGGGGCUAAUACCCUCGAGGAAGGACAUCACCCACAGAAGAAGCACCGGCUAACUCCGUGCCAGCAGCCGCGGUAAUACGGAGGGUGCGAGCGUUAAUCGGAAUUACUGGGCGUAAAGCGCGCGUAGGCGGUCUGAUAAGCCGGUUGUGAAAGCCCCGGGCUCAACCUGGGAACGGCAUCCGGAACUGGCAGGCUAGAGUGCAGGAGAGGAAGGUAGAAUUCCCGGGGUAGCGGUGAAAUGCGUAGAGAUCGGGAGGAAUACCAGUGGCGAAGGCGGCCUUCUGGACUAACACUGACGCUGAGGUGCGAAAGCGUGGGUAGCAAACAGGAUUAGAGACCCUAGUAGUC
rnacentral:rRNA from 1 species